rnacentral:rRNA from 1 species
GACGUAGGGCGCGAGCGUUGUCCGGAUUUAUUGGGCGUAAAGCGCACGUAGGCGGAUUGCUAAGUCAGGGGUGAAAUCCUGGAGCUCAACUCCAGAACUGCCCUUGAUACUGGCGGUCUCGAGUCCGGGAGAGGUGAGUGGAACUGCGAGUGUAGAGGUGAAAUUCGUAGAUAUUCGCAAGAACACCAGUGGCGAAGGCGGCUCACUGGCCCGGUACUGACGCUGAGGUGCGAAAGCGUGGGGAGCAAACAGG